GACGAACGCUGGCGGCGUGCUUAACACAUGCAAGUCGAGCGGAAAGGCCUUUCGGGGUACUCGAGCGGCGAACGGGUGAGUAACACGUGAGUAACCUGCCCCAGUCUUUGGGAUAACCUUCGGAAACGGGGGCUAAUACCGAAUAUUCCUGGUUCACCGCAUGGUGGGUUGGGGAAAGAUUUUUUGGUCUGGGAUGGGCUCGCGGCCUAUCAGCUUGUUGGUGGGGUGAUGGCCUACCAAGGCUUUGACGGGUAGCCGGCCUGAGAGGGCGACCGGCCACACUGGGACUGAGACACGGCCCAGACUCCUACGGGAGGCAGCAGUGGGGAAUAUUGCACAAUGGACGGAAGUCUGAUGCAGCGACGCCGCGUGAGGGAUGACGGCCUUCGGGUUGUAAACCUCUUUCGACAGGGACGAAGCGUGAGUGACGGUACCUGUAGAAGAAGCGCCGGCCAACUACGUGCCAGCAGCCGCCGCCGUAA
rnacentral:rRNA from 1 species